rnacentral:rRNA from 1 species
AUUGAACGCUGGCGGCAGGCCUAACACAUGCAAGUCGAGCGAGCGUCGGCCGGGUGAGUAAUGUCUGGGAAACUGCCCGAUGGAGGGGGAUAACUACUGGAAACGGUAGCUAAUACCGCAUACCAUCUGAUGCUCCCAGAGGGGAUUUGAUAGUAGUGUGGGUAAUGGCUCACCAUGGCGACGAUCCCUAGCUGGUCUGAGAGGAUGAUCAGUCACACUGGAACUGAGACACGGUCCAGACUCCUACGGUAGGCAGAAGUGGGGAAAAUUGGCCAAUGGGCGAAAGCCUGAUCCAGCCAUGCAGCGUGUGUGAAGAAGGUCUUCGGAUUGUAAAGCACUUUAAGUUGGGAGGCGUUACCAACAGAAUAAGCACCGGCUAACUUCGUGCCAGCAGCCGCGGUAAUAG